rnacentral:rRNA from 1 species
UACGUAGGGGGCGAGCGUUGUCCGGAUUUAUUGGGCGUAAAGAGCUCGUAGGCGGUUGGGUAAGUCGGGUGUGAAAACUCAGGGCUCAACUCUGAGACGCCACUCGAUACUGCUCUGACUCGAGUCCGGUAGGGGAGCGUGGAAUUCCCGGUGUAGCGGUGAAAUGCGCAGAUAUCGGGAGGAACACCAGUGGCGAAGGCGGCUCUCUAGUACGUGACUGACGCUGAGACGCGAAAGCGUGGGGAGCGAACAGG